rnacentral:piRNA from 1 species
UCAUUUGUGGAAUCAAUCUAGAGCAGCAGC